GGAUGCGAUCAUACCAGCACUAAAGCACCGGAUCCCAUCAGAACUCCGAAGUUAAGUGUGCUUGGGCGAGAGUAGUACUAGGAUGGGUGACCUCUUGGGAAGUCCUCGUGUUGCAUUCC
rnacentral:rRNA from 1 species